UACGGGGGGGGCAAGCGUUGUUCGGAAUUACUGGGCGUAAAGGGCGCGUAGGCGGCCUGCUAAGUCGGACGUGAAAUCCCUCGGCUCAACCGGGGAACUGCGUCCGAUACUGGUGGGCUCGAAUCCGGGAGAGGGAUGUGGAAUUCCAGGUGUAGCGGUGAAAUGCGCAGAUAUCAGGAGGAACACCAAUUGCGAAGGCAGCUCGCUGGGACGUUACUGACGCUGAGAACGCGAAAAGCGUGGGGGAGCAAAACAGG
rnacentral:rRNA from 1 species